AGAUGGAAACACACGAAUAUAAAGAACUUACAAGAUAAAGAAACAAAAGGAUGAACAAUAUUUACACAGGUGGGAGAUAGCUUACAGAAGCUUGUUUCUCUCCGACACGGACUCUUAAACAAACUUCAUAUUUAUGUACAGGACUCUUGAAUACACAGAACAAGAAAAAGAAGGAAGAAGAGGGCUGUACAGAACUCAAGGGAAGGAAUAAUGGUAUAAAACAGGAGGAAGAAUAGAAACUAUUUAGUGGAAUACUCUCUCACUGGCUUGUAAGUUCUACCUGGCAUAUGAUCUUCAAUAAGCUUUUCAAGAAAGCCAAUGGCUUUUGAAUUGCUCGUGAAGUGCUACCAAGACUUAUGACAAGGCUUCUUCUCCAAUGGUGGCAUUAAGGGUCUUCUUAUAGAAGCUGUGAAGUUUUCUUUGCUUAGAGGCGAGGUAACCGAUGGAGUAGCUUGUCGGUGAAGUAGAGUAAUCUUGUCAGUAGUUGUUAUUUUGUUUGAGGCUGAAGUAGCUUGGCGCAGAAGUAAAGUCAUCUUACUUGCCGGUGAAGUAAAGCAAUUUUGUCGGUUAAGUGGUCUACUGAUGGAGCAACCUUGAAGCAUCUUUUGUUGGUGAUGUGACAACUUUAUUGGUAGUGAGAUGACCCAAAACAAUUUUGUUGGGAAGCAUCUAGCUAGUCUUCUUUUUGAUGGUUUGAUGGUUUGUCAUCUUAUCGGUAGAAUACUUUGUCGGUGGAGCAUCUAGUCGGUGAAUGAUAAGUGAUAUAUUUUUA
rnacentral:lncRNA from 1 species